rnacentral:rRNA from 1 species
GGCCGAUUUAGUGGCGGACGGGUGAGUAACGCGUGGGUAACCUGCCUCAUACAGGGGGAUAGCAGUUGGAAACGACUGGUAAAACCGCAUAAGCGCACGGUGUCGCAUGACACAGUGUGAAAAAACUCCGGUGGUAUGGGAUGGGCCCGCGUCUGAUUAGGCAGUUGGCGGGGUAACGGCCCACCAAACCGACGAUCAGUAGCCGGCCUGAGAGGGCGACCGGCCACAUUGGGACUGAGACACGGCCCAAACUCCUACGGGAGGCAGCAGUGGGGAAUAUUGCACAAUGGGGGAAACCCUGAUGCAGCGACGCCGCGUGAGCGAAGAAGUAUUUCGGUAUGUAAAGCUCUAUCAGCAGGGAAGAUAAUGACGGUACCCGACUAAGAAGCCCCGGCUAACUACGUGCCAGCAGCCGCGGUAAUACGUAGGGGGCAAGCGUUAUCCGGAUUUACUGGGUGUAAAGGGAGCGUAGACGGCAAGGCAAGUCUGAUGUGAAAACCCAGGGCUUAACCCUGGGACUGCAUUGGAAACUGUCUGGCUCGAGUGCCGGAGAGGUAAGCGGAAUUCCUAGUGUAGCGGUGAAAUGCGUAGAUAUUAGGAAGAACACCAGUGGCGAAGGCGGCUUACUGGACGGUAACUGACGUUGAGGCUCGAAAG